CGCCAGCCUGACGGAGCCAGACCGCGUGGGGGAGGAAGGCCCUUGGGUUGUAAACCCCUUUUCUCAGGGAAGAAACCUGACGGUACCUGAGGAAAAAGCCUCGGCUAACUCCGUGCCAGCAGCCGCGGUAAUACGGAGGAGGCAAGCGUUAUCCGGAAUUACUGGGCGUAAAGCGUCCGUAGGGGGCUCGUCAAGUCUGCUGUCAAAGCUCGGAGCUCAACUCCGGUUCGGCAGUGGAAACUGGUGGGCUAGAGGGCGACAGGGGUAGAGGGAAUUCCCGGUGUAGCGGUGAAAUGCGUAGAUAUCGGGAAGAACACCAGAGGCGAAAGCGUUCUGCUGGGCCGCACCUGACCCUGAGGGACGAAAGCCAGGGGAGCG
rnacentral:rRNA from 1 species